AUGCUAAAGGGAAGUAUUACCCUUUAGCAUACAUAUGUAGCACGUAGCA
rnacentral:ncRNA from 1 species